rnacentral:rRNA from 1 species
AACGAACGCUGGCGGCGUGCUUAAGACAUGCAAGUCGUGCGAGAAAGUCACCUUCGGGUGGCGAGUACAGCGGCGCACGGGUGAGUAACGCGUGGGUAAUCUACCCAUGGGUUCGGGAUAACCCCGGGAAACUGGGGCUAAUACCGGGUAAGACCACGAGGUCCUUGGGCCUUGUGGAAAAAGGUGGCCUCUCCUUGGAAGCUACCGCCCAUGGAUGAGCCCGCGUCCCAUUAGCUUGUUGGUGAGGUAACAGCUCACCAAGGCUCCGAUGGGUAGCUGGUUUGAGAGGAUGAUCAGCCACACUGGGACUGAGACACGGCCCAGACUCCUACGGGAGGCAGCAGUCGGGAAUUUUGGGCAAUGGGCGCAAGCCUGACCCAGCAACGCCGCGUGAGGGAUGAAGGCCUUCGGGUCGUAAAGCCCUUUUCCAGGGGAAGAACCCCCGCUUCGGCGGGGAUGACGGUACCCUGGGAAUAAGCCCCGGCUAACUCCGUG